UACGUAGGGACCAAGCGUUGUUCGGAUUUACUGGGCGUAAAGGGCGCGUAGGCGGCUUGUCAAGUCACUUGUGAAAUCUCUGGGCUUAACCCAGAACGGCCAAGUGAAACUGACAUGCUAGAGUGCAGAAGGGGCAAUCGGAAUUCUUGGUGUAGCGGUGAAAUGCGCAGAUAUCAGGAGGAACACCGGUGGCGAAGGCGGUUCUCUGGGCAUUACCUGACGCUGAGGCACGAAGGCCAGGGGAGCAAACGGG
rnacentral:rRNA from 1 species